GGCCCCAUCGUCUAACGGUCAGGACGCGUCUCUUUCAAGGACGAAAUCGGGAUUCGAUUCCCCGUGGGGCCG
rnacentral:tRNA from 1 species